CUUGCAUAUGCUUCAGUAUGUGUAUCGUUUUUAAUGCCUUUAUUUUUAGCUUGUUUUUGUGGCCAGAAGAGGAUUCCACAGGAAAUCCUGCAGCCGCGGAAUCGCGAAAAGCUCGGGUCCCCGGUUGUGUUACAUACGUUAACAGAGACGUGAGCUAUACUUUUUUUUUAAAAAAGCAGCUAUAAAUACUUCCUCCAGCUGCACCAAUAUCCCCUCAUCCCUCUUCCCUCCAUGACACCUGUUGGCACUCGUGUACCAAAUUAAGAGUAGCUGCUUCGCGGGGAAGGGAAGCCCUGACUUUGGAGGCAUUUGGUCUUGUCGCAGCAGCACCUGGCCUGCCCAUUUAGGGAGGCCACUGGGGCUGUCAAUAUUGGCACAACCCAAGAGGACUGCUUCCACUGCUGGGCUCCCUCCGCCCAGCCACGGCGCGGGGAAGCAGCUCCCUAGCUGUGACGGGGAACGGACCCAGGAACCGGCCGCGUGUGCCCGAGUGAAAGCUACUGUCGCGGCGCUGUGGGCUACAGGCUGCGCUGGCUGCAGCCCAGAAGCACCUUGCUAUCUUAGCCUUAGUGAAAGGACAAAUCCCUGGGCAGGAAGUCCCACCAUUGUGAGGAAGUGGCUGGUUCUCAGCGUUUCUUCCUUCCCGAGCUCAGCGAGGGGCCACCCUGUGAAGCUGCGGUGCCUGGACCUGGCAUGUGCGUGCGGGUUUUGUUUUGCAGCUGUGGGGUGCACCACCAAGAGCAUCACUUCCCUCCAGCUGUGGAAGCAGCUGGUUCCGUUGCAGGACCCCUCCGGGGGGGGUGGGGGUGGGGGGGUCCUCCAGGCUCGCUGCGAUGAGAAAUGGCUGGGAAUCGGCCUGCACUUGCGAAAACGGAGAUGCCCAGUCUACGCAGCUUGGAUUCACAGCAUCCGAAAGUGCGGGGCAGACGUUUGUAUCCUCUCAGUGUUAUGAAGAGGGACUUCUUCCACACAAGAGAGGGCUCUCCUGCCUGGCUUUGAGCAGCACGGCGGGGAAGAUGCUGUGUG
rnacentral:lncRNA from 1 species